CACCCACCCCCUCAUCUCUCAGGUUUUAUUCCACUUCUUUGAGCAGUGGACACAUUCUUGCCAGUCUCAGUGUUUUAAUUUAAUUUGGGCACAGACUAUAUAAAAUUGAACAGAUGUCUGAAAGCAGUGGAGAGAAGACCAUAAAAUGAAACACGUGCUCAGCUCCAUUUGAAACAAGCAAUGCUGUAUUUUUUUUGUCCCCAUUGCCACAAAAGUCACACAUGACUUGGAGGUGUGUGACAAGAGGAUCCAACAGGGGAAGAGGAGGAAACUAGAAGGUGGCAGCCUUGGGGUGAUAACUGAAGUGAAACACAAGACUGUCAAGAAAUAAGACAUUAAAAAAACUUCAGGAAAAGAGUAAGGUAGAUG
rnacentral:lncRNA from 1 species